rnacentral:rRNA from 1 species
AGAGUUUGAUCCUGGCUCAGGACGAACGCUGGCGGCGUGCCUAACACAUGCAAGUCGAACGGAACUGUUUUGAAAGAUUUCUUCGGAAUGAAUUUGAUUUAGUUUAGUGGCGGACGGGUGAGUAACGCGUGAGUAACCUGCCUUCAAGAGGGGGAUAACAUUCUGAAAAGAAUGCUAAUACCGCAUGACAUAUCGGAACCACAUGGUUUUGAUAUCAAAGAUUUUAUCGCUUGAAGAUGGACUCGCGUCCGAUUAGUUAGUUGGUGAGGUAACGGCUCACCAAGACCGCGAUCGGUAGCCGGACUGAGAGGUUGAACGGCCACAUUGGGACUGAGACACGGCCCAGACUCCUACGGGAGGCAGCAGUGGGGGAUAUUGCGCAAUGGGGGCAACCCUGACGCAGCAACGCCGCGUGAAGGAUGAAGGUUUUCGGAUUGUAAACUUCUUUUAUUAAGGACGAAAAAUGACGGUACUUAAUGAAUAAGCUCCGGCUAACUACGUGCCAGCAGCCGCGGUAAUACGUAGGGAGCAAGCGUUGUCCGGAUUUACUGGGUGUAAAGGGUGCGUAGGCGGCUUUGCAAGUCAGAUGUGAAAUCUAUGGGCUCAACCCAUAAACUGCAUUUGAAACUGUAGAGCUUGAGUGAAGUAGAGGCAGGCGGAAUUCCCCGUGUAGCGGUGAAAUGCGUAGAGAUGGGGAGGAACACCAGUGGCGAAGGCGGCCUGCUGGGCUUUAACUGACGCUGAGGCACGAAAGCGUGGGUAGCAAACAGGAUUAGAUACCCUGGUAGUCCACGCUGUAAACGAUGAUUACUAGGUGUUGGAGGAUUGACCCCUUCAGUGCCGCAGUU